CCUAAGUCAUCUUCUCCAUACCCCUCCUCACCCCACCAAACCCCCUAAGUCAUCUUCUCCAUACCCCUCCUCACCCCCACCCCCAUUGGACAAACUACCAACCUUGUUUGGCAGCCUCCCUCCCCCGUUCAUCUUCUCAAUUUGCCCUCCCCUACCCCCACUGAAGUUAUCUUCUCCAUUUGGAAGGCAGCCCCUCCCCCCUCCCCUGGCUACGUCCCAUCAUCUUCUUCAAUAUGCCAUUCAGUAAUACCGAAGGACUUUGGAAUUGAUGAGAUUAUGUAUGAUGCAACAACAAAAUAUAAAGGAUUAGUAGAGGCAAUCGCAACACAGCUGAUGAUAGACAUAUCGAAUUGAAAGGUCAAGCACAAGCAGCUACAAUUUGAUUUGUAUGAUGGAGGACUGUAUUUGGUUUCUUCGUUCUUCCAGAAUUAACAAAUCAAAGAUUUUUAAGAUAAGAAUGUAUUGUGACAUUCAUACAUGCUCAAUAAAGGAUCAAGUUUAUGCAAGACGUCAAGGGAUGACAAAAGGGGUAGCCGGACUGAUUUUAACAAAUCAAAGAUUUCAGAAUCACCGGGGAGUAAUGGUGUAUUUAAAUUAGAAAAGUAGUAUUGUUGCUUUUUUUUAUUAAAUAUAUAUUGUAUGUGACACCAAAAUAUAUGACAAUGAAUAUUAAUGAAAAUACUGAACAAUCUGUUAUUUGUGUUGGUAUAUAAGAUUCUACAUACAAA